rnacentral:rRNA from 1 species
UGAGUAACGCGUGAGCAACCUGUCUUACGACAGGGGAUAACACUCCGAAAGGAGCGCUAAUACCGCAUAAGGACCACGAUAUCGGCAUGGGUAAUCGGGGGUAAAAGGAGCAAUCCGGUGUAAGGUGGGCUCGCGUCCCAUUAGAUAGUUGGCAGGGUAAAAGCCUACCAAGUCGACGAUGGGUAGCCGACCUGAGAGGGUGAUCGGCCACAUUGGAACUGAGAUACGGUCCAGACUCCUACGGGAGGCAGCAGUGGGGAAUAUUGGGCAAUGGGCGAAAGCCCUGACCCAGCAACGCCGCGUGAGGGAUGAAGGUCUUCGGGUUGUAAACCUCUGUCCUAAGUGAAAAGGAAGGAUGGUAGCUUAGGAGGAAGCUCCGGCUAACUACGUGCCAGCCGCGGC